UACGUAGGUGGCAAGCGUUAUCCGGAAUUACUGGGCGUAAAGCGCACGCAGGCGGCUCUUUAAGUUUGACGUGAAAGCUCCCGGCUUAACUGGGAGAGGUCGUUGAAUACUGAGGGGCUUGAGGAAAUGAGAGGGGUGUAGAAUUCCCGGUGUAGUGGUGGAAUGCGUAGAUAUCGGGGGGAAUACCAGUGGCGAAAGCGGCACCCUAGCAUUUUUCUGACGCUCAUGUACGAAAGCGUGGGGAUCAAACAGG
rnacentral:rRNA from 1 species